UUGAUGUGGUUAAACAAUUUAAGGAGAAUCAAAAACCUGUUAUUCCAAAACAGUUUAAGGUGAAGAGGAAUAACAUUACCUUUCAGAAAGGAGGUAGAGGUUCUGGAAACAAUAACUACCGAGGUAGUUAUCAAGAUAGAGGAGGCAGAGGAUGAGGUCACUAUGGUGCCAAAUAAGUUAUCUGAUGACAUUGGUUAUCAUUGUCAUUACUCAGUACCAAAUGUUAGGUUGGUAUCAAGACAUAAGUGAUUUAACCUUGAUUAACACCCCUCUGAAUUUUCGGGGGGGAAAAAUUCAGUUAUCUUCAACUUUAGAAAUAAUUAUCCAGUGAUCCUUGGCUAACUAACACUGUUCAGGGCAAGUAUUUGUUUUCUUUUCAUAAUUUUCCAUCACAAAGCCAUAUCACCCCCCUCCAUUACAUUUCUCUCAGAGGGAUAAAUGGGCUAUUGAUGCAGCCAUGGAUAUAUUUAUUCAGCAGCAUACUGUUGAGAGAGCUGCAGUUGUUUCAUCAGGGCUUUGCUCCAAUAUUUAUCCUAAGUUAAAGAAGGAUGGAAGUGUCUGGAUUAUACUUAAUUUAAAAUACUUGAAUGAGUACAGUAAAAUCCCUCUCAUCUGGCAUUCGAGUAUCCGGCAGCUUCAAGUAUCCAGCACAUUUUUCCCCGAGCCUUAAAAUCAAUAAAAAAUCAUUGUGUACUCGUAAAAUCGAAUAAAAUUCCUGUGCGAGGCAUACUUUGUCCCCUCGCCACCAGAGCGCACUGCUUCGCGCCACCCGCGGCCCACUGCACUGUGUUUACUCAGUGACUCAGUCCCGCGUGUUCACUGUUUAUCACCUGACAUCUUCAUCAUGCCUAAAGUUGUAGAAAAGAGGAAGCGUGUUGUGCUUACACUUAAGCAGCUGAUCAGAUCAGCUGAUCUUUGUUAUGAUAAGAUGCAUGAGUGUAGGGUGGUGAUUGUGGACAUAAUUUCACUUCUAUUCAAGUAUCCGGCAUGUCGGCGGUCCCGUUGAUGCCGGAUAAGGGAUUUUACUGUAUGUGGAAAAUAUAAGAUGGUAACAUUUUAAGAUGGAAACACUUAUAAAUGUUUUACCAUUGGUUACACAUAACUGUUUCUUUGCAUCCAUUGACUUGAAACAUGUUUAUUUUUUUUGUUCCAGUUUGCAGGGAGGAUCGAUCAUGGUUAAGAUUUAUAUGGAAUGGUUUAUUAUGGCAGUUUACUUGCUUGCCUCAAGGUUUUUCUUCAUCUCCUUGACUUUUCACUAAGUUGUUGAAGGUCCCUUUUUCACAUUUUUGGGCUUUAGGCAUCUUAACAAGCAUUUACAUUGAUGAUUGCCUUGUGAUGGCUGGAUCCAAAGAGAAAUUAAUUGAUAAUGUCAAAUAUAUUGCAUCAACAUUAGAUCAAUUAGGUUUCACAAUUAAUUUGGAGAAGUCAGAAUUUCAGCCCAGUCAUGAAAUAGAAUUCUUGGGCUUUGUGUUGAACUCUACAGACAUGACAGUUAAACUCACACAAGGCAAGGCUGACCUUACAAUUAUUACAAACAGAUGACAUUAGAAUUAGAGAUCUUGCUGUUUUCAUUGGCAAUGUGGUUUCUGCAGGAGACUUUGUACACUGGGCUCCCUUAAAAUAUAAGUAUUUAGAAGUGUUAAGGAAAGAAGCUCUUAAGCAAAGUUGUGGUGAUUUUGAUGCCUUACUGUGUCUAGAUAAGAGGGCCAAAUGUCUCAUAAACUGGUGGACAACUAACAUUCAUUCUUGUAUCAGAUCGUUACAUACACCAGCCCCAGAUUUAAUCAUCACCACAGAUGUCUCAAUGUCUGGCUCGGGGGCUUGUGCCAGUGAUGACAUUACUGGUGACCACUGGGCUGAGUAUGAGAAAGACCAUAUAAAUAUUUUUGAAUUAAGGGCUGUUCUUUAUGGUCAGAAUGCUCUCUUCCCUGAUGUCAGAAGUAAACACAUUCGCAUAAAAUCAGAUAAUGCUGCAGUUGUUGCAAGCAUUAAUAAUUGUGGAAGUAUUAAGCAGCACUUGUUGGAUGUGACUGAGGAGGUUUUUGAGUGGACUUAUGAGAGGGACAUACACUUAUCAGCUGAGUAUAUCCUAAGUUCUCUGAAUAUUACCACUGAUUUAGCCUCUAGUGAGAGAGAUUUCAACAAGGAAUGGAAACUAAUGCCUACAAUUUUCAGUUACAUUUGCAGAAUUUAUGGUGAACCAACUAUUGAUCUUUUUGCUACUCACAUUAAUGCUUAGCUAUCAUUUUUCUAUUCUUGGGAACCUGAUCCUAAGGCAUUACUCACAGAUGCUUUUUCAGUCCAUUGGAAUAAUGAUUCUUUUCUAUAUGCUUUUCCUCCCUUUAGGGUCAUUGAAGACAUCAUUUAGAAAUUAAGGGAUGAAAAAGGCAUCAAUUUUAGCAAUACUGCCAAUAUGGAGAAGUCACCCAUGGUUUGCAGAGGUUCUUAGGCUUUUGCAGGAUGCACCUCGACUUCUUCCUCACAAGUGCCUGUAUCUGCCUCAGGAUCCACAACGGAUCGAUCCUGUCAGGAAUCUGCAAUUAGCAGUAUGGCCUCUGUCAGGGAAUCUUUCCGCAGAUGAAAUCUGGAUACUGAUAACACCAGACUGUCAGUCACGCAUGACCACACAAAGCUGGGCAGCACAGCUUAGGAAGAACUCCGAUCAUUGCACACUUACCAAGGAGGCAGAGGUUGGAGAAGCAGCUGCAGAUCGCAGAGCCAGGACCCAAAACAUGAUUCUUGCCAGUGAUAAAAGUAUGAGCGCAUACACAGGUCUUCCUUGUAGAAAUGCUUUGACAGCCAUCUAUGAUGUCAUUAACAAAAAGAGUAAAAAAAAUUGAGUACUGGAAAGGACCAAGGCAUUUCCAAAAGAAAAUGACCAAGAAAGGUUUAGGUGGCAGUAAAAAUGUUAUGGAUAAUUUUGAUGAGUACCUGCUGACUUUAGUAUGUUUGUGUCAAGGCUUAACAACAUGGCUUUUAGCAGAAUUGUUUGGAAUCUCUCAGUCAUGUCACUUGCAUCACCAACACUUGGAUAAAUGUAUUGUAUGAGAUAUUGCAACACUGGCCAUUAUAGCUCAGCAAUUAAGAAACAGCUUACUUGCAUGGUAUCCUGCUAGAUAUGCAGAUAUCAGGGUGAUCUUGGACUGUACUGAGUUUUUUAUUGAUAAGCCAAGAAACUGUACUGCUCAGGCCAAGACAUAUACACUAAACAAGCAUCACAACACUGCAAAAGUUUUGGUAGGCAUAACACCAACUGGAAUUAUUACUUUUAUUUCACAUGCAUAAGGAGGUAAUGCUUCUGACAGGCACAUAGCAGAAGCAGAACUUCUAGAUAAAAUUGACCCAGGAAAUGCUGUAAUGGUGGAUAGAGGCUUCAAUAUUGGAGACCUAUUGCUGCAAUGUGGUGCAAAAUUGUGCAUACCACCCUUGACUAGGAAGAAAGCUGAUGGUAAAAGAAGAGCAUUAAACACUAAUGAAAUUGUGAAAACACGAGAGAUUGCUUCACUGAGGGUACAUGUAGAACAUGCCAUUGAGAGAAUAAAAAAAUUCAAAAUAUUGACUGGACAAUUAAGGACACCCACCAUAUUUUUUUGAAAUUGCAGCAGUUAUAAGGGGAAUAUAGCUCAGAUAUGGGUUUAUAACUGCCAGUAUUAUAAGGUUUCAAAGUACUGGGUGUCUGCCUUCCUACACCUGUGCUGUAAAAAUUAAUAUGAAAGAAAAUUAGUACAAUAUUGGUGGUACCUUGAACUGCAGUCUUCAUAUGAACUACUAGCACCACUGUAUAGAGAUACAGAGUACAUACUGAAUGUUCUCUUUCUUGCAACCAAGCUGAAAAAUCAUAAGAAAAAAAAUAAAAAAUAAAAUAAU